GACGAACGCUGGCGGCGUGCUUAACACAUGCCAGUCGAACGGAAAGGCCCUGCUUUUGUGGGGUGCUCGAGUGGCGAACGGGUGAGUAACACGUGAGUAACCUGCCCUUGACUUUGGGAUAACUUCAGGAAACUGGGGCUAAUACCGGAUAGGAGCUCCUGCUGCAUGGUGGGGGUUGGAAAGUUUCGGCGGUUGGGGAUGGACUCGCGGCUUAUCAGCUUGUUGGUGGGGUAGUGGCUUACCAAGGCUUUGACGGGUAGCCGGCCUGAGAGGGUGACCGGCCACAUUGGGACUGAGAUACGGCCCAGACUCCUACGGGAGGCAGCAGUGGGGAAUAUUGCACAAUGGGCGGAAGCCUGAUGCAGCAACGCCGCGUGCGGGAUGACGGCCUGCGGGUUGUAAACCGCUUUCGCCUGUGACGAAGCGUGAGUGACGGUAAUGGGUGAAGAAGCACCGGCUAACUACGUG
rnacentral:rRNA from 1 species